CCUACGGGGGGCAGCAGUGGGGAAUAUUGGGCAAUGGAGGCAACUCUGACCCAGCAACGCCGCGUGAAUGAUGAAGGUCUUCGGUAUGUAAAGCUCUAUCAGCAGGGAAGAAGAUGACGGUACCUGAGUAAGAAGCCCCGGCUAACUACGUGCCAGCAGCCGCGGUAAUACGUAGGGGGCAAGCGUUAUCCGGAUUUACUGGGUGUAAAGGGAGCGUAGACGGUGAGACAAGUCUGAAGUGAAAGCCCGGGGCUCAACCCCGGGACUGCUUUGGAAACUGCCUGACUGGAGUGCUGGAGAGGCAAGCGGAAUUCCUAGUGUAGCGGUGAAAUGCGUAGAUAUUAGGAAGAACACCAGUGGCGAAGGCGGCUUGCUGGACAGUAACUGACGUUGAGGCUCGAAAGCGUGGGGAGCAAACAGGAUUAGAUACCCUGGUAGUC
rnacentral:rRNA from 1 species